AACGAACGCUGGCGGCAGGCCUAACACAUGCAAGUCGAACGCCCCGCAAGGGGAGUGGCAGACGGGUGAGUAACACGUGGGAACCUUCCCUAUAGUACGGAAUAGCCCAGGGAAACUUGGAGUAAUACCGUAUACGCCCGAGAGGGGAAAGAUUUAUCGCUAUAGGAUGGGCCCGCGUAGGAUUAGCUAGUUGGUGAGGUAAUGGCUCACCAAGGCGACGAUCCUUAGCUGGUCUGAGAGGACGACCAGCCACACUGGGACUGAGACACGGCCCAGACUCCUACGGGAGGCAGCAGUGGGGAAUAUUGGACAAUGGGCGCAAGCCUGAUCCAGCCAUGCCGCAUGAGUGAUGAAGGCCUUCGGUUGUAAGACUCUUUUUGUCCGGGGACGGAUAAUGACGGUACCCGGACGAAUAAGUACCCGGCUAACUUCGUGCCAGCAGCCGCGGUAAU
rnacentral:rRNA from 1 species